rnacentral:rRNA from 1 species
AACCUGGUUGAUCCUGCCAGUAGCAUAUGCUUGACUUGGAGAUUAAGCCAUGCAUGUCUAAGUAUAAGCGUACUUAUUGCGAAACUGCGAAUGGCUCAUUAAAACAGUUAUAGUUUAUUUGAUGACUUCCUUACAUGGAUAACCAUGGGAAACUGUGGCUAAUACAUGCAUAAAGCUGGACAUUGUUCAGUCGUGUUUAUUAGUUUCAAAUCAAUAGCCCUCGUGCUAGUUUGAGGAAUUAUAAUAACUUAACAGAGCACUCUUGUGCCACAUCAUUCAAGUUUCUGCCCUAUCAGGUUACGAUGGUAGUGUAUUGGACUACCAUGCCAGUCACGGGUAACGGAGAAUUGGGGUUCGAUUCCGGAGAGGGAGCCUGAGAAACGGCUACCAUUUCUAAGGAAGGCAGCAGGCGCGUAAAUUACCCAAUCCUAACUCAGGGAGGUAGUUAAUAGAAAUAACAUAUUCGGGCCUUUCGGCUUUGAAAGUGUAAUGAAACUAAUGUAAAAAUUUUAUUGAAACCUAUUGGAGGGCAAGUCUGGUGCCAGCAGCCGCGGUAAUUCCAGCUCCAAUAGCGUAUAUUAAUGUUGUUGCAGUUAAAAAGCUCGUAGUUGAAUUUAGAAGGGGAAACUCUUCUGUUUGUCCUCACUCCUGCAUCCGAUUAGUUGCUUGGGUGAUCAAACUUUUACUGUGAGAAAACUAAAGCGCUCAAAGCAGGCUAACGCUUGAAUAUUAAAGCAUGGAAUAAUAAAAUAGGACUUUAUUCAUUUUAUUGGUUAUUGAAUGAAGUAAUGAUUAAUAGAAACAGUUGGGGGCAUUCGUAUUUAAUUGUCAGAGGUGGAAUUCUUGGAUUUAUUAAAGACGAACCAGUGCGAAAGCAUUUGCCAAGGAUGUUUUCAUUAAUCAAGAACGAAAGUUAGGGGAUCAAAGACGAUUAGAUACCGUCGUAGUCCUAACCAUAAACUAUGCCGACUAGGGAUUGGUGAGGUGAACCCUCAUCAGCACCUAAUGAGAAAUCAAAGUCUUUGGGUUCUGGGGGGAGUAUGGUCGCAAGGCUGAAACUUAAAGGAAUUGACGGAAGAACACCACCAGGAGUGGAGCCUGCGGCUUAAUUUGAUUCAACACGGGAAAACUUACCAGGGCAAAAAACUGAUAUGAUUGACAGCUUGAUAGCGCUUUCUUGAUCCGGUAGCAAGUGGUGCAUGGCCGUUCUUAGUUGGUGGAGUGAUUUGUCAGGUUAAUUCCCUAAACGAACGAGACCUUAACCUGCUAAAUAGGAGUGCUUACUUUUGCUAGGCAUAUCCUUCUUAGAGGGACUAUGGAUCCAAAUCCAUGGAAGUUUGAGGCAAUAACAGGUCCGUGAUGCCCUUAGACGUUCUGGGCCGCACGCGUGCUACACUGAUGCAUGCAACGAGCUACCUAACUCGAAAGAGGAAGGGAAAUCUUUUCAAUGUGCAUCGUGCUUGGGAUAGAUCCUUGUAAUUAUGGGUCUUGAACGAGGAACUCCUAGUAAGUGCAAGUCACUAUCUUGCGCUGAUUACGUCCCUGUCCUUUGUACACACCACCCGUCGCUCCUACCGAUUGAGUGAUUCGGCGAAUGCUUCGGACCGGCCCUUUUGGUGCUGGAAAGUUGUGUAAGCCAUAUCACUUAGAGGAAGGAUAAGGCGUAACAAGGUUUCCGUAGUGAACCUGCAGAAGGAUC